GAUCUUUAUAUAUUAAAUAAUUAUACAAUAUUAGUUUAAUUUUUUUUUUAAAAUUAUUAAUAUAUUAUAUUGGGGUAAUAAUAAAAUUUUAAAAAUUUUUAUUUUUUAAUAACGAUUAUGAUUGAUUUGUUGAUCCAGUAUUAUUGAUUAUAAAGUUAAGUUACCUUAGGGAUAACAGCGUAAUGAUUUUUGAGAGUUCUUAUCAA
rnacentral:rRNA from 1 species